rnacentral:rRNA from 1 species
AAAUGGCCGCAGUAUUUUAACUGUGCAAAGGUAGCAUAAUCAUUAGUCUUUUAAUUGAAGGCUGGUAUGAAUGGUUGGACGAGAUAUUAACUGUUUCAUAAAAAUUGAAUUAGAAUUUUAUUUUUUAGUUAAAAAGCUAAAAUUUUUUUAAAAGACGAGAAGACCCUAUAGAUCUUUAUAAUUUGUAUAUUAUAGUUAUUUAGAUUAUUUAAGUUAUGAUUAUAUAAAAUAUUUUGUUGGGGUGACAUUAAAAUUUAAUUAACUUUUAAUUACUAUUUACAUUAAUUUAUGAAUUUUUGAUCCAUUAAUAAUGAUUAAAAAAUUAAGUUACCUUAGGGAUAACAGCGUAAUUUUUUUGAAGAGUUCAUAUCGAUAAAAAAGAUUGCGACCUCGAUGUUGGAUUAAGAUAUAAUUUUGGGUGCAGCAAUUCAAUUAUUAAGUC